ensembl:lncRNA
GUCCAAGUGAAUUAAACAACAAGAAAAACUAAGCACCCAUAUAGCAACAAUAAACAUUAUAUAACCUGUAAAAGUUGAUGAAAGCAUAUAAUGCGAUGCACUUGCCUCAGAUGCGGCCGUUCUGUUGACAGACAAAACACAGAUCUCCUCAUUCGCCAGCCAAAAACCUUGUUAACUCCAUUUGAGCUUGUUUUUCAUUUAGCCUGAUGUUAAGUACAAGUGUCUGAUACAAUACCAACACUGACGACGCAGUGUUGUUUAAUUAUUGACUCCCCCCUUUCUUUCUUUCUUUUCCCCCCUGUAUUUUAGUAGAGUGUGCCAUGUAUUUGUCAACACCCACAACAGACAUCAUAUUGUGUGUAUUUGGUUGCUUAAACUCAACAAACUAUGAAAAAUAACUCCUAUAGAUAAGUUUCCCGGGCAUUUCCGGUUUACUUCCUGUUUCUGCCAAGAACUUCCGGCGCAGGCUGAGUAGUGGUGCAAAAAUGGCGUUGGAAUGGCAACAUUCGACCGAAAAGCUUGUUAAAAAUGGUGUUUUGACCAUUCCGCAUCCAAGUAAGGUAACAUCAUGGGCGGACAACAUGUCAAUAUGGCCCAGCAUAACAACAUCCAAGAUCUUUUCUUAUUUUAUUUAUUCCAUGGCGGUGGAUGGGAAUGCAAUUAAUAACCUGAAAAGCUCUGAGGCGUUUCAGUACCUCCAUUCAGACAAAGUGGGCUGUGUACUUUUACACGAUAUGGGCAGUUUAAUUUACCUAAAGGCCGAUGUUCAACCAAGCCAGUCCGUUAACAAUUCAGCGCAUAACGCCUGGGUUUUGGUUACCAAGACGGGAGAUGUGGAGACUGCAGGCUGUACCUGUAUCGCCGGACCCGGACGUUCCUGUAGCCAUGCAGCCGCCGUGCUUUGGAAGGUAGAAAAUGCUGUGAGGCAAGGGAAGACAGGGCUUGCCUGCACUGAUGUGCAGAAUUGCUGGAAUGCCGGGACAAAAAGCAAUACUGGGCAGCAAAAAAUCAGAGAUGUGUCUUUCCGAAGACACAGCAGAAAUAACCUAUACCAACCAGCAUCACAGGCAUCCUCCUCCAGCAUAGUUUCUACACCUAGUCGCAAGGUAAAAGUCCAUGAGACACUGGAAGAAUGGCAAAAUUACUGUCUCUCCACACCAAUAGCGGCACUUUUCACUGCACCUGGCAGUGGACUAAUGCAGCUCACUUUUAACACCAGCCUCCCUGCUCAGUCUGCCGAGACAUCAAAAGCUCCACUGCCCCUACAUCAUGGUGAUCACAACACACAACUUGAAUGUGAGAAGUGUAGGGCAUUCUACACCACAUACAUUGACAUGACCACAACCCAAUUUAUGUACAUUGAGCAGCACACAAAAGAACAGAGCAGGGAACAACUGUGGCAUGACAUGCGACUGGUACGGAUAACAGCAAGCACAGCCAAGAAUGUGCCAGUUCGGGCUACCACAGCACCAGACAAAUUCUUGUCUGAACACCUCCAUCCUACCUUUCACGGUAACGCAGCAACCCGGCAAGGAGCAGAGGGUGAAGAGCACGCCAGGCAAUACCUGCAAGACCAAGGUCAUGACAUCGAUGUGAAAGGUUUGGUGGUUUGCCCGAGUGAGCCAUGGCUUGCUGCGAGUCCGGAUGGUAUCAUGAACAGAGACACACUACUGGAGAUCAAGUGCCCUGUCUUAGUCAAAAACCAGUCCCUUACUGAAGCACUUGCUGCUAAAAGCAGUGAGAUCAAACGCAUGCCCACAGGGGAAUUCCAUCUGUCCUUCAAUGGGCCAAAGGGAUAUUACAUGCAGGUGCAACUGGGCAUGCACUGCACAGGGCUACGGCAAGCCUUGUUGGUGAUUUGGAGUAACACUGAAUGUCUGCAGCUCAACGUGCUCUACGACCAAACCUUUGUUGAGGGACAUAUCUCAAGGCUACACUCCUAUUUCACCCACAUGUUGCCAAAAGUUGUCGAUGACUUCGAUGAUGGAAGGCUGGAGUUGUGUUCCAGAUACAUGGAUGUUGUAAAAUCAGCAUGACCUGCUUAUGUGUACUGGGGUGAUUAGUCAUUCCUUUUUUAACCCCUUGUCCCCUGUUGUCACAAAUUUGUGACAAAUCCUUUCUAGCUUUUAUUUAUUUUUAUCAAACUGAUUUAUUUUCUUUUACUUACUCUUAUUUAUUUUUAUAUCAGUCACUUAUUUCUUUAUUUAUUAAUUUUAUUUAUUUAAUAUUUUAUUCCAGUCUUUUUCUUUUUGUGAUAUUGUGAGAUUUCUUUCCUGUAUUUACUUUGUUUUUAUUUAAUUAUUAAAAAAAAUCAUCCAUUAAGGAGUUAAUGAAAUUGUCCCUUUGUUAUG